rnacentral:rRNA from 1 species
UAGGGAAUAUUGGACAAUGGGCGCAAGCCUGAUCCAGCCAUCCCGCGUGAAGGAUUAAGGCCCUCUGGGUUGUAAACUUCUUUUCUCUGGGAAUAAAAACCGGGAUUUAUCCUGGCUUGAAGGUACCAGAGGAAUAAGCACCGGCUAACUCCGUGCCAGCAGCCGCGGUAAUACGGAGGGUGCAAGCGUUAUCCGGAUUCACUGGGUUUAAAGGGUGCGUAGGUGGCUUUGUAAGUCAGUGGUGAAAUCUUAGAGCUUAACUCUAAAACUGCCAUUGAUACUGCUUAGCUUGAAUCAAGUAGAGGUGGAUGGAAUAUUACAUGUAGCGGUGAAAUGCUUAGAUAUGUAAUAGAACACCGAUUGCGAAGGCAGUUCACUAUGCUUGUAUUGACACUGAGGCACGAAAGCGUGGGGAUCAAACAG